CAGUUACUGUUAGAGUCCCCAGCAGCCAUCAUCAGUUUCAUCAUGCAGUCCCUGGUGAAAAAGUAAAAUUUAAAGUUACGAUAAUGAUGUUUCCACCAUCUUUUACCAACUCUUAUAAUGACAAUAUUAGUUUAUACUGCAGUUAAGGUAGAGACGGAUAGCAACCACGUGAUCAGUAAAAAUCGUGUAUAUUCACGUGAAUUUAUUUUCCGGAAUUCCGUACGCCGUCAUAGAGUAGUUGAAAAACAUAAAGGGGUUCCGAAAGUACAAGUUGUUGCUGUGACUGACUCGAUGAUUGAGGGGGUCGUCUCGACGAAAGAUACAGUUGGCCAUAGUUUAGAUUAGGAAUAGGUCAAUGUAAUAAUAGUGGACCAAAUGUUUCGUCCGUGCAGAAUGGCACUUUUUACCUCACGACCAUGCAUAGCUGCGCUACGUAAACAAUUUUACAAAGUUGUUGAUGUAGCGUGAUCGUGAUGUCCGACUCCGAGUACGAGUGCUGCAAGUUUCAAUACUGUUUAUGUAGUCAUUGAGAGUUUAAACAAAGUUUCUUCUGAGAAGAGAAAUUCGAUGGAUGCAUUCAACGUGGAUAACGAGAUUAUAAUUUCGUUUGUAUCAUCCUAAGGACAAGUGCAAGUUGAAAUGGAUUUCGAGUCAACAACUUCAACAGCAAUUUGCCUUGAAAACCAGCAAGAAAGGUACUUCAUUUACAUUGAUGAUGUCAUAUCCCUUGAACCCCACAACUUUACAGGUUACAGAGAAAAUUCAAGAACUUCUGCACAAUGUGGGACUCGGAUAGAAUCAAUAAUGUAUUUGUGAGCCCAGAUAUAUUGCGCAACAUACUAA